rnacentral:rRNA from 1 species
GGCCAUUUGGCCCCAAAGGGCUGGGCCACCCCCGGGCUACCAUGGGCGGGACCAUGGGAAGCCCCCCCCAAAAGGGGCCCUUAUCCCCUAAACCCGGUCCUAAUUUCGAAUGGGGGGUGAAACUUCCCCUCCUGAAACUUGAUUCCGUAAUAAUUCCCUUUCCAAAAAACGCGGCGAAUUCCUCCCCGGCUCUUGGAAAAACUUCAAACCCUUCCUACCUC